GCUGCCAGCUGAGGACAGCUGGUUCACCUGCUUUGACCUAAAAGACUCUUUCUUUAGUAUCAAACUAGCCCCUGAGAGCCAAAAACUGUUUGCCUUUCAGUGGGAGGAUCUGGGGUCAGGUGUCACCACUCAGUACACUUGGACCCAGCUCCCCCAAGGGUUCAAGAACUCCCCCACCAUCUUUGGGGAGGUGCUGGCUUGAGACCUCCAGAAGUUUCCCACCAGAGACCUAGGCUGCGUGCUGCUCCAUUAGGUCAACGACCUCUGCUGGGACACCCCACGGCAGUCGGGUGUGCCAAGGGAAUGAAUACCCUGCUCCAGCACCUAGAAGACUGUGGGUAUAAGGUGUCCAAGAAGAAAGCUCAGAUUGCAGACAGCAGGUACGUUAUCUGGGAUUUACUAUCCGACAGGGAGAGCGCAGCCUGGGAUCAGAAAGAAAGCAAGUCAUCUGCAACCUGUCAGAGCCUAAGACCAGAAGGCAGCAGGCCCAACCUCCGAGACCAUCCUUGGACAUCACUAGACUGGGAGCUAUACAUGGAAGGGAGCAGCUUCGUCAACCCAAGGAGAGAGGUGUGCUGGAUAUGCAGAGGUAACCCUGGACGGUGUCAUUGAAGCCAAAUUGUUGCCCCAGGGUACUUUAGCCCAGAAGGCAGAACUCAUUGCUUUAAUUCAGGCCUUAGAGCUAAGUGAAGGUAAGACUAAACAUUUACACUGACUCUAGGUGUGCCUUUUUAACUCUUCAAGUGCAUGGGGCAUUAUACAAGGAAAAAGGCCUAUUGAACUCUGGGGGACAAGAUGUAAAGUAUCAGCAAGAGAUCCUGCAACUAUUAGAGGCAGUGUGGAAGCCCCAAAAGGUGGCAGUCAUGCACUGCAGUAGACACCAGUGAGAUUCUACCUUGAUUGCCUUGGGGAACUCCCAAGCUGACUCAGAGGCUCAAAAAGCAACAUCCACACCCUACCGGGCAUCAGUCACAGCAUCCCCUGCUCCCUCAGGAACCUGACCUUGUACAUACUUAUUCUAAAGAAGAGAAGUACUUUCUCCAGGCAGAGGGAGGGCAGAUGAUAGAAGAGGGAUGGAUCCAGUAAUUGGACAGAAGAAUAGCUGUGCCACAACUGCUAGGAGCCACCGUCGUACUGGCUGUGCAUGAGACCACCCUCCUAGGCCAAGAGUCACUUGAAAAGUUGUUAGGCCAGUAUUUCUAAAUCUCGCAUCUGUCAGCCCUUGCCAAAACAGUGGCGCAGCCAUAUGUUACCUGCUGGCAGCACGAUGCUAGGCAAGGUCCAACCAUUCUGCCCAUCAUACAAGCUUAUGGAGCAGCCCCCUUGGAAGAUCUCCGAGUAGACUUCACCAAGAUGCCCAAAUGUGGAGGUAAAAAGUAUUUGCUAGUUCUAGUGUGUACGUACUCUGGGUGGGUGGAGGCCUAUCCAACAUGAACUGAGAAAACUCGUGAAGUAACCCAUGUGCUUCUCCAAGAUCUCAUGCCUAGGUUUGGACUGCACUUACGAAUCAGCUUGGACAAUGGGCCGGCGUUUGUGGCUGACUUGGUACAGAAGACAGCUAAGGUAUUGGGGAUCACAUGGAAACUACAUACCGCCUACCAACCACAAAGUUCCGGAAAGGGAGCAGAUGAAUCAGACUACCAAAACAUAAUUUAGUGAAAGUGUGUCAAGAAACAGGGUUAAGGGUGUGGAUCAAGGAUUAGAACGUAACCCCCUUGUGGCCAUGGUGGAAAGGACCCCAGACUGUCGUCUUGACCACAGCCAUAAAGGUAGAGGGAAUCCCAGCCUGGAUCCACCACAGCCACGUUAAACCUGCAGCACCUGAGACCUGGGAGGUAAGACCAAGCCCGGACAACGCCUGCAAAGUGACUCUGAAGAAGACGACAAGCCCUGCUGCAGUCACACCCGGAAGCUGACUGGUCCACACACGGCCGAAGCAUGAGGAAACUCAUCUUGGGACUCCUUUUCCUUAAACUUUGGACUUAUAGAGUAAGGACUUCAACUGACCUUCCUCAGACUGAGGACAAUUCCCAGCAUAUAUAUCAAGUCACUGAGAUAGGACAAAAGGUUGCUGUAGUCCAUUAUUUUAUAGUUAUUAUGAGUGUACCGGGACUCUAAGAGGAACUUGUUUGUAUAAUGCUACUCUAUACAAGGUAUGUAGCCCAGGAAGUGACCAGCCUGAUGUGUGCUCUAACCCAUCUGAGCCUCCUAUGACUACCAUUUUUGAAAUAAGAUUGAGGACUGGGAGCUGGGGAAAAGCUGAUAUGAGUAGAGUAGUAACUAGAAUAGAAGAGAAAGGAGUCCCCAAACAAAUUUUCUUAAAAUUUGAUGCCUGUGCAGCAAUCAACAGUGACCUGUAUGGAAAUAGAAUAAGAUGUAGCUCUCUAGAUUGGGAAAGGGGCUAUAUAGUAGAAAAUAAGUAUGUUUGUCAUGAAUUAGGACUAUGUACUGAUGAAUGUAGUUACUGGUCCUGUGUUAUUUAGGCCACCUGGAAAAAAAUAUGAGAAGGACCCUGUCCUCCUUCAAAAAGGAAAGAGUAACUCUUCAUGCACUUGUGGUUACUGUAACCUAUUAGAACUACUAAUUACCAAUCCCCUUGAUCCCCAUUGGAAAACAGGAGAGUAUGUAAAUUUAGGAAUCAAUGGAACUGGACUGGAUCCCUGAGUAAAUAUUUUAGUCCAAGGGGAGGUCCACAGGCUCUCUCCCAAACCAGUGUUUCAGACAUUUUAUGAUGAGCUGAAUCUGCCAGCACCAGAGCUUCCACAAAAAAGAAAAGAACUUGUUUCUCCAUUUAGCAGAAAAUGUAGCUCAUUUCCUCAAUGUUACUUCCUGUUACAUAUGUGGGGGAACCACUAUGGGAGACCGAUGGCCUUGGGAAGCCCGAGAAUUGGUGCCUACUGAUCCAGUUCCUGACAUAAUUCCAGUCCAGAAGACUUCUGGGUCUUGAAAACCUCUAUUACUGAACAAUACUGCAUAGCUAGGGAAUGAAAAGACUUCACCAUCCCUGUAGGAAGGCUCAAUUGUCUAGGACAGAGGUCUAGGACAGAGGCUGUAUAACGGCACAACAGGGACAGUCACCUGGUGGGGUCUAAACCAUACUGAAAAGUAUGUAAAUUUCCUUCAUUACAUUCCUUCAGUAAAUUUCCUAAAUUACAGAUUGCUUGGCCCAUCCACAAUCUCAUCGAGACUGGACGGCUCCUACUGGACUAUACUGGAUAUGUAGGCACAGAGUCUACACUCAGUUACCUGAUCAAUGGCCAGGUAGUUGUGUCAUUGGCACCAGUAAGCCAUCCGUUUUCCUACUGCCCGUUAGAACAGGUGAGCUCUUAGGUUUCCCUGUCUAUGUCUCCCGAGAAAAGAGGAGCAUAGCUAUAGGAAAUUGGAAAGGUGAUGAGUGGCCCCCCCCCGAAAGGAUCACACAGUACUAUAGGCCUGCCACAUGGGCACAAGAUGGCUUGUGGGGAUACUGAGCCCCUAUCUACAUGCUCAACUGGAUCAUACUGUUACAGGCCAUCUUAGAAAUAAUCACUAAAGAAACUGGCAGAGCUUUGACUCUUUUAGCCCAGCAGAAACCCCAAAUGAGAAAUGCCAUCUAGCAGAAUAGAUUGGCCUUAGACUAUUUGCUGGCAGCUGAAGGAGGAGUCUGUGGAAAAUUCAACUUGACCAAUUGCUGUCUGCAAAUAGAUGGUCAAGGACAAGUAGUCGAAAAUAUAGUUAGAGACAUGACAAAGCUGGCACAUGUACCCAUGCAGGUUUGGCAUGGGUUUGAUCCUUGAUCCCUGUUUGGAAAAUAGUUUCCAGCUCUAGGAGGAUUUAAAACUUUUAUAAUAGGAAUAAUAAUAGUGUUAGGAACAUGCAUGUUACUCCCCUGUAUGUUACCCAUAUUUCUACCACCUUAGUUCAUCAAAAGACCUCAGCACAAGUAUAUUACAUGAAUCACUAUCGAUAUGUCUCACAGGAAGAUCUAGAUAGUGAGGAUGAGAAUGAGAACUCCCACUAGUGUGUGAGGUUCUCAAAGAGGGGUAUUAGGAGACAAGCCAUUUCUCCUACUGUCCCCUGUAUCCAAAGAAAAGGAGGAAGUAAAAACUGAAAAAUAACAGACUGAUCAGUGCCACUGGCCAGGCCUGUAGGUUAAAGAUUAACCCCACCCUAACUGCUUGUGCUAUCUAUAGAUCACAGAUAAUGGUAUGGAGAAAUACUUGCCUUGCUCACCACCCCCACCUAGUCAUGUACCACAUGCUUGCUCAAUAUAUCGUGACCCUUUCACGUGAACCCCUUAGAGUUGUAAGCGGGAACUCUUUUUUUGGGGAGUUCAGUUCUUGAGACACAAGUCUGCCAACACUCCUGGCCAAAUAAAGCCUCUUCCUUCUUUAAC